rnacentral:lncRNA from 1 species
GAUCCAGGGAGCAGGAUGACAGGGCAGAAAAAGACAGGAAAGGAGGAAAAGCUUUCAUAAGUGCACAAUUAGAUUUACUGCUCUAGAUAGUGGGGCCUCCAUGCAUCAGAACCUCUGAAAAUGAACUCCCCUCACUUUCUGAUAGGUUUGAAUGGGGGCUGACCCCACUAGCACACAAAAAGUCUGAACUCACAGGCAACUUUGCAUUGCGGCUGCAGCUCAUGUCAGAGUCUGCUCAGCCUGGUUAAGAACUCUUUUUGGAGAACUGGUGGAGUCAUUUGGAGGACAUAAGACACUCUGGCCAUAGCAGCGGUACUAUGCUGGGGGUCUGCUCCAGUCCCUGGUCAUCCCGGACUCUCCAAAGCCCAAAGGCUGGAAUGGCUAAGUCACCCAAACAGAAAAUAUAGUGGCCCACCCCUCUUUCUGGGAGCUCUGUUUCAGAGAGGUGUAAUGCUGCUGUUGGUGGAAGGUUGGAGCUCCAAGCCAGCAGAU